AUUUCUUGACAGAGCUGGCUACUAUUUUUUUUCUUUUUUGUCCAACUCUAGCCGUUAUGGUUUGGUAAUUAACGAAUCCUUCUGACCACUUACGGGAAGGAAUAGAAGAUUGAGAUCUAGUUCUGAAUGAUGAAUGUGGUAUAGUGAAAUGGCAGUAAUUAAGAGAUGAUUUGGGAGGAUGUCUUUUUAUGACUUGAAAAUGGUCUAAUUUUUUUGUUCCCCAACAAAAGUGGUUGUCCAUAUACCUCUGAUACUUUUCAAUAGUCCUUUUGUUGGAUAAUGGUCCACCAUUUUUGUACUAAGUGUUCUGCUAACUCACCUUCCAAGUGUACUACUAGCUCACCUUCACCGGGCAUCCAAGGAAGCUUCUUCGAGUAUGUAUUCCUUCAGAAGCAACACAUUUUUCGGGCCUAAAUUUGUGCAACAUGCAUUUGGGCACAUCAUACACUACUGAUCCGUAGUAUAGGGGCUC
rnacentral:lncRNA from 1 species